CACAUGCACAUCUGAACAUUCAUGCAGUUAUCCAAUCAGCUAAUCAUGUGGCAGCAGCCCAGUGCAUAAAAUCAUGCAGAUACAGAUCAAGAGCUUCAGUUAAUGUUCACAUCAAACAUAAGAAUGGGGAAAACUAAACUAUUCUUUACAACCAUGGUGAGCAGAAAAGCAUCUCAGAACACACAUCAUGCCAGAAGACAACAUCAGGUUCCAUGGUGCAUAAGGUUCCAGUCAGCCAAGAACAGAAAUCUGAGGCUACAGUGGGCACAGACUCACCAAAAUUGGACAGAUGAAGACUGAAAAAAGACCAGAUGAUGUUUUUCCAUCUUCAACUGUUCAGUUUCUUGACAGCACAGAAGCCUGUAAGUAAGUGUGGUAGCAGUGCAGAUGGGUACUAGCAGCUGGGAGAUUUUUUUCCACUAGGCCCAAGAUGUAUUUAGGCGUCUAUUGGUCAACUGGAAUUUGGAGCCACAAGUACACUGAUCAUUAAUCACACCCACUCAAUGUACUGCAGAAUUAACUACAAAGCUAGUUAAUGAAUAAAAGUUGGAAUGUAACCUUUUCUGAAAUGCUAUGUUUAUUCUCACCCUGUAUUAAUG